GACGAACGCUGGCGGCGUGCUUAACACAUGCAAGUCGAACGGUGAAGGGACUGGUUUUUGCUGGUUCUGGAUGAGUGGCGAACGGGUGAGUAACACGUGAGUAACCUGCCCCCUUCUUCUGGAUAACCGCAUGAAAGUGUGGCUAAUACGGGAUAUUCUGCGCCUGCUGCAUGGUGGGUGUGGGAAAGAUAUUGUUUCGGUGGGGGAUGGGCUCGCGGCCUAUCAGCUUGUUGGUGGGGUGAUGGCCUACCAAGGCGGUGACGGGUAGCCGGCCUGAGAGGGUGGACGGUCACACGGGGACUGAGACACGGCCCAGACUCCUACGGGAGGCAGCAGUGGGGAAUAUUGCACAAUGGGCGCAAGCCUGAUGCAGCGACGCCGCGUGAGGGAUGGAGGCCUUCGGGUUGUAAACCUCUUUCGCCAGUGAAGCAGGCCUGUCCCUUUUGUGGGUGGGUUGACGGUAGCUGGAUAAGAAGCGCCGGCUAACUACGUG
rnacentral:rRNA from 1 species